rnacentral:misc_RNA from 1 species
GAACGCACAUUGCACUGUCUGGCAUUCCGGACAGUAUACCUGUUUGAGUAUCAGUAAAUCCUCCUACAAAAGUCUUUUUAUUAAGACCUUGUAGGAAAUUGAGUCAACACGUUAAAACGCGUGACUUUAAAUACAUUUGCUGGUGCACUACCCUUAAAGUUACUACUAGCUGAACAGAGUUAAAAGGCCUAGUGUCUUACGCUGUCUAGCUACUGAAACUACCGGUAGCAAACCGAUUCAUAAACAUACAGCUAACGACUGUGACUAUGAUCUCAAAUCAGGUAAGAUUACCCGCUGAACUUAAG